rnacentral:rRNA from 1 species
AAAACUUUUAACAACGGAUCUCUUGGCUCCAGCAUCGAUGAAGAACGCAGCGAAACGCGAUAUGUAGUGUGAAUUGCAGAAUUCAGUGAAUCAUCGAAUCUUUGAACGCACAUGGCGCCUUCCAGUAUCCUGGGAGGCAUGCCUGUCCGAGCGUCGUUUCAACCCUCGAGCCCCAGUGGCCCGGUGUUGGGG